UUACGCUGUUAUCCCUUAGGUAAUUUAGUCUUAUAAUCAACAAGAAUGGAUCAAAUUAUUAUAAAUAAAUAUAUAAAUAAAAGAAAGAGUUUAUUAAUUCAUUUCCAUCACCCCAAUAAAAUAAAUAUUCAAAAUAGUAUAUUAUAUACUAACGAAAUAAUAUAAUGAAAUUUAUUAAACUCUAUAGGGUCUUCUCGUCCCAUAAAUAAAUUUAAGCAUUUUAACUUAAAAUUUAAAUUCAAAAUAAAUAUUAAGAAACAGCUUAUACCUCGUCCAACCAUUCAUUCUAGUCUUCAAUUAAAAGACUAAUGAUUAUGCUACCUUUGCACGGUCAAAAUACCGCGGCCCUUCAAAUAAUUCUUCAGUGGGCAGGUUAUACUUCAAAAACUUAAAACAAGAAGAGAUGUUUUUGAUAAACAGGCG
rnacentral:rRNA from 1 species